rnacentral:rRNA from 1 species
GAUGAACGCUGGCGGCGUGCCUAAUACAUGCAAGUCGAGCGAACAGACGAGGAGCUUGCUCCUCUGACGUUAGCGGCGGACGGGAGAGUAACACGUGGAUAACCUACCUAUAAGACUGGGAUAACUUCGGGAAACCGGAGCUAAUACCGGAUAAUAUAUUGAACCGCAUGGUUCAAUAGUGAAAGACGGUUUUGCUGUUGCUUAUGGAUGGAUCCGCGGGGCAUUAGCUAGUUGGUAAGGUAACGGCUUACCAAGGCGACGAUGGGUAGGCGACCUGAGAGGGCGACCGGCCACAUGGGGACAGAGAUACGGCACAAAGUCUUAAGGGAGGCAGGAGGGGGGAAUAUUGCACAAUGGACGGAAGUCUGAUGAAGCAACGCUGCGUGUGGGAUGACGGCGUUAGGGUUGUAAACCGCUUUAAAUUGUGACGAAGCUUUUUUGUGACGGUAGCAGUAGAAGAAGCACCGGCUAACUACGUG